AAUAACUGGGGUUGGGUUAGAUGAUACUCAUCUCUGAAAUCGCAGUCUAGAUUACGAAAACUGAAGUGGUAAUUCAUCAAGUCUCUUAAUCGAUCGAGAUGUUGGAGAAGAUCGGAUUGCCUGCAAAACCAUCACUUCGUGGAAAUAAUUGGGUGGUUGAUGCCUCACAUUGCCAAGGAUGUACCUCUCAGUUCACCUUCAUCAAUCGGAAGCAUCACUGUCGGCGCUGUGGUGGCUUGUUUUGUAAUAGUUGCACCCAGCAGAGAAUGUAUCUGCGCGGACAAGGUGAUUCACCUGUUCGUAUAUGUGAACCUUGUAAGAAACUUGAGGAGGCAGCUCGUUUCGAGAUGCGACAUGGAAACAAGAAUAGGGUCUCUAAAGGUAGUUCAAAACUGGCUGUGAAGGAUGAGGAUGAGGUUUUGAACCAGAUUUUAGGUACAGAUGGACUGCUAUCUAAUAAGGACUUGGGUUCCAGUGUGCAAAGAGCAACUAGCAGUGCUUCUUGUUCAAACAGUCAAGAUGGUACGGGAGAUAUGCAUAGAAGUAUUUCUGUUGAUGACCAAAAUCCAGCACAGAAUGAUAUUGUAUCUGCUAGUCCUGAGGAAUUACGCCAAAGGGCUGUGGAAGAAAAAAAGAAGUAUAACAUUCUGAAAGGAGAAGGGAAACCUGAAGAAGCUUUAAAAGCCUUUAAGAGAGGGAAGGAGCUUGAGAGGCAAGCUGAUACAUUAGAGAUGUCCUUGAGAAAAAAUCGUAAGAGAGUUCUGUCUUCUGCAAGUGCGGCAGAGAUCCAGAAUAAAGACAUCUUCAAAGAAUCUGGUAGAAAAAAUAAGCUAGUUCCAAAAGCAGGUGCAGAAAAGGAUGAUUUUGCAGCUGAGCUCAGGGAACUAGGGUGGUCUGACAUGGAUAUUCAACAUGAAGAUAAAAAAUCAGCAAGUAUGAGUUUGGAGGGUGAACUCUCUUCUCUUCUUGGAGACAUCUCUCAGAAGACUAGUAAAAGUACAGGUACUCAGGGCAUUGACAUGUCCCCAGUUGUUGCUCUUAAAAGAAAGGCACUGCUUUUGAAGCGUGAAGGGAAUCUUGCGGAGGCCAAGGAAGAACUAAAGAAAGCUAAAAUUUUAGAAAAGGAACUUGAGGAACAACAACUCUUGGCUGGGGCCGAAGAGUCUGAUGAUGAGCUAUCUGCAAUAAUUAAUAGUAUCGACGACAAUGAACAAGAUGACUUCUUAAUUGAAUAUGAGCAUCGAGCUAAAAUUGAUCACCUUGACGUCACUGCAGAUGAUCUUGGUAUUGACAGUAAUUUGGAAGUAACAGAUGAGGAUAUGGAGGACCCAGAAAUAGCUGCUGCCCUGAAAUCAUUAGGUUGGACUGAGGAUUCUGAUCAGGCUGACAACUUCGCUUUGCAGUCUGUUCAUGUGGACCGGGAAGCACUAUCAAGGGAAAUUCUUUCAUUAAAGAAAGAGGCCCUUAAUCACAAAAGGGCGGGUAAUGUUGCAGAGGCAAUGGCUCAGCUGAAGAAAGCAAAGUUACUUGAACAAGACCUAGAAAUUAUUCACACAGGUUCAACUUCUCAAGCUGAUGUGAAGUUAUCAAAGAAAACUAAGGUGGAUGAUAAAAGCACUGAAUUUACAAAAGAAGUGCAUUCCAAAGUUGCACCAAAGAGUAAAUUGAUGAUUCAGAAAGAGCUUCUGGGUCUAAAAAAGAAGGCUCUGGCUUUGAGAAGGGAAGGAAAAUUUGAUGAGGCUGAGGAAGAGCUGAAAAAAGGGAAAGUUCUUGAGCAUCAGCUGGAAGAGAUGGACAAUGCUUCAAAGGUGCAAGCUAUAGGUAAUAAGGAGCCAGAUUUGACAUAUGAGAGUUCUGUUGCAUCUGUUGAUCUUACAGUUGGAGAAGCUGAAGAUGAUGUAACAGACCAAGAUAUGAAUGAUCCAGCAUACUUGUCAAUUUUAAGGAAUUUAGGUUGGAAUGAUGAAGAUAACAGAUCUUCAAGUCAACCAUUAAAAUCUAACCUGAAGAGAAGCAAAGGAGAAAUCCAGAGAGAACUUCUAAAUUUGAAAAGAAAGGCCCUGGCUCUUAGGCGUAAAGGGGAAACUGAAGAGGCUGAAGAAUUGUUGAAAAAGGCAAAGGUACUAGAGGCUGAAAUUGAAGAACUUGAAGCCCCAAAGGAGAAUUUGCUUGAUGCUUCAAAGUACAAAAGCUCUGGGAGUUAUGAAUCAUUGAAAAACCAUGGCAAACAGGAGAAUCCGGUUCAUGAGGUGGGAGUGAAUACAGGACCAGCCCUGAUGGCAGUAGAUUGUAUUGACAACACCGUUGCAUCUUCACCGCUCGUUAAAAGCGAUGAUCCCUUGUUAGGAGAACUUGGUCCCUCUUGGGGAACUGAUGUUCCAGGCUAUAAAGGAGCAGCUGAGGGAAUUGCUUUUAUUCCUUCAGCAAGUCAGUCUUUGAACUCAGCGGAUUUGCUGACAGGAAACAACUGGACUAGUUCCCUAAUAACUUCUAGAAAACCAGAAGAUAAAGGAAACUUUGGUUCUGACAUUUCUUCUCUUAGAAAACCAGAAGAUAAAGGAAAUUUUGGUUCUGACAUUUAUUCUCUUGCAAGAUCGUCAGUUCAAAUGGAUUCCUCAACAAAUUUACUUGGAAAUCUAGUUCAAAAUGAUAAAAGAGAGGUGAUUCAAGCAAAUGGGAAUCCACUCAUUCAUGAAGCAAAUUCAGAGCAGGUACUUGCUUCUGAGAACCAGACUUCCCUGCGACAAGAAGUUUUUGCUCUCAAGAGGAAGGCACUUGCUUUAAAAAGAGAAGGGAAAUUACCAGAAGCAAGAGAAGAACUCCGACAGGCAAAGCUAUUGGAGAAGAAACUGGAGGAUGAUUGCGUCCAGCCCAAAAUUAGUCCAGCUGAUGUGUCAGUAACUGCAUCCAACCUUCCUUCUGUUGGACAAAAGGAGCAUCACAUGUCAAAUACGGCUCCAAAAUCAUUGUCUGCACGUGAUCGUUUUAAAUUACAGCAGGAAUCCCUCAGCCACAAACGUAAGGCCCUGAAGCUAAGAAGGGAAGGUCAAAUAGACGAAGCAGAAGCUGAGUUUGAAAUGGCAAAGAAUCUUGAAGCUCAGUUGGAGGAGAUGACUGCUAACGAUUCCAAGUCUUCUGUCAAUGAUGCAACACCAGCGGAUGGCAUUGUUGUGGAAGAUCUUCUUGAUCCUCAACUUUUGUCUGCAUUGAAGGCUAUUGGAAUAGAUGAUGCUAAUGCGGUGACACAACGCCCAAAAAGUCAAGAACCUAUGAAACAAGGUGCUGGUAAGAGUGAGAAUUUUGGCAAAGAGAGAAUUCAAUUGGAGGAAAGACCAGAGCCUCCAAACCGCAGUGCUAGAAAGAGUGAGAGCUUUAGCCAAGAGAAAAUUCAGUUGGAAGAACAAAUCAAGGCAGAAAAGAUGAAGGCAUUGAACUUAAAACGUUCAGGAAAACAGGCUGAGGCCUUGGAUGCCCUUCGUCGGGCAAAAUUAUUUGAAAGAAAAUUGAAUUCUUUGGCCUCAAAUUGAAGAAUCAAAGGAUAUAUUAUAUAAGAAAGUCUUUCUGAUGUUGACUCUGGUUGACACUACUGUAGGUGAGGUCGGUCAAUACACUACAUAUGAAGAUUGCUAGAAGAAUAGUGGGAUGCCUCCUGGGCGUUGUGCUGGGUUUUCCAUCUGUUUUCAUAAGAAGUGUGCUUUGCUGUUUGGGAUGCUGUAGAUAUGGAAACGAAAGGAGCCAAGGAAAGAUAUAUCAACAAAAGGCAAGUAACCUUUAUGUGGGUUUCUGCCAUCUGCUGUCAAAAUUCCUCCAAGCAUGACCACUGAUGGUGGUAGGUGACCACUAAAUCUGAUCGAAAGCUUUAGGAAUCUUACACUGAAUUGGAUGUGCGAAAUUCUGUUUUAUCAGAGAAACUUUCAGAUGGUGAAGCCGUGUGCAUGAAAUAAUCUGUGCUUGGUUUAUGGGAAAGAUAGAUUAAACAUAUAUGGGGGAAUGAUGGAGAUUAAUGAUCCCUAAAUUGCAUUGGAUGAUAUGUAUUCUCUCAUUCUCAGCAAACUUGAUGAAUGGAAGGGCAUAAUACCGGUUUGUCACAUUUCUUUAUAAUUGCCACAAGAUCUCGUUCUUUUUGUGUACAUAUUGAUGUAUAGUUUGUGAAUUUUAUUCUUUUGUGAAAGUUACCUGCUAUUAGUCAUGGUUCCUGUUUCUAUUACCAUAAUUUAUUGAAUUCUCAAUUUUACA